GUGGGGUGGGGGCAGUCUGCAUGAGCCUGAGUGACAGCAGCGAAGAUCACAAAGCUACAAGAGGAAAUAAGUGAACAUUAAAUGAAAAUAAACAAGGAACAAUGACUACCGGCACAAAUAUCCUCAUAAAGUUUCGUCGUUUCUGGCAGAGGACUCCACUGCAAUAGGUGCAGCCUUCAUGUCACGUUUUAUAAGUAUCAUAACACACGCAGACUUCUUCCCUGCAAAUCAUGGCACUGUCAGCAACAAGCAUGGUGAAAGGUUUCACCAGGAUAUUGUGGUCAUGAAGAAACGAUAUUGGUGCAACUGGAAUCCAUCAACGCUGGCUGAUUCUUGUUGGAUACUUAAGCGAGAAGCCUCAGACUUCCAUUUGUUAUGAAAGCACCAUAGCUCUGAGGGGCCGAAGGGGUGGGGGAGCCCCCUCCUUUGUGAGAAUCGCAAGAGCAUUAUUGGGUUGGCUCAGAGGACCCAGGAAAUGAGAGAGACCUGGCCAUUGUCUCCUGGAGACCACGUUUGUGCAUUGGGGACUAUACUACGUGCAAGCCCUCGGGCAAAGUGGGCUGGCUGAGAGAGGGAUUGCAUCAUCCCAACCUGAUUGACAUCUGAGACCCCGUGAGGUAGUAUAAAAGAGGGUCUGGGGGAGCAACCCCUUCAGACGCACCAGAAGAAACGCUAACGAUCCCGUAGUAGCGGGAAGCCAUUUGAAGGAAGCCAUGUGCGUUUGGUUCCCUCGCCUGGGGGCCGGUGGCGGGUACCACAGAAACGAUGUUCUUGAACUAACAACGGGGAACCAACUUCCCCAAUUCAAUGGAUUUGCUUCAUAAAAGACCCAGGCAAGUUUCUUUUCUCACAAAUCUCUCUCUCUCCGACAAGUGAAAACCCAGCGGUCCCCAAAGACUGAAGCCUGCAGGAACUGAGUGACAUUUAUAUUUCCAUCGGACAAUAUAUUAUCCCCUAGACAAACGAUUGAGCUAUUUCUUAUUGAUGAUUAUUAUUAUACCCGCGCUUUUAGAUUGAGUAUUGAUGACGUAUAUUAUCUGAAUGUUUGUAUUAAUCUUAUUUUUGUGCCCCUUUAUAAAUAAAGACUUUUAAAAAUAGUACCAUCAGACUUCAACGGACCUCUCUAUCUUUGCUAGUAAUCCAGUUACGGGAAUUCGAAACACAUUACAAAUGAAAAUCAUCAACAAGACAUCUUUAACUUAGUUGAACUAUUGCAGAA